UACUGAGCUGAAAUGUGCCGAGAGUCUGCGU
rnacentral:piRNA from 1 species